rnacentral:rRNA from 1 species
UACGUAGGGUGCAAGCGUUGUCCGGAAUUAUUGGGCGUAAAGAGCUCGUAGGCGGUUUGUCGCGUCUGCCGUGAAAGUCCGGGGCUCAACUCCGGAUCUGCGGUGGGUACGGGCAGACUAGAGUGAUGUAGGGGAGACUGGAAUUCCUGGUGUAGCGGUGAAAUGCGCAGAUAUCAGGAGGAACACCGAUGGCGAAGGCGGGUCUCUGGGCAUUAACUGACGCUGAGGAGCGAAAGCAUGGGGAGCGAACAGG